rnacentral:rRNA from 1 species
GAUGAACGCUGGCGGCGUGCCUAAUACAUGCAAGUCGAGCGAACGGACGAGAAGCUUGCUUCUCUGAUGUUAGCGGCGGACGGGUGAGUAACACGUGGAUAACCUACCUAUAAGACUGGGAUAACUUCGGGAAACCGUAGCUAAUACCGGAUAAUAUUUUGAACCGCAUGGUUCAAAAGUGAAAGACGGUCUUGCUGUCACUUAUAGAUGGAUCCGCGCUGCAUUAGCUAGUUGGUAAGGUAACGGCUUACCAAGGCAACGAUGCAUAGCCGACCUGAGAGGGUGAUCGGCCACACUGGAACUGAGACACGGUCCAGACUCCUACGGGAGGCAGCAGUAGGGAAUCUUCCGCAAUGGGCGAAAGCCUGACGGAGCAACGCCGCGUGAGUGAUGAAGGUCUUCGGAUCGUAAAACUCUGUUAUAAGGGAAGAACAUAUGUGUAAGUAACUGUGCACAUCUUGACGGUACCUAAUCAGAAAGCCACGGCUAACUACGUG